UACGGGGGGGGCAAGCGUUGUUCGGAAUUACUGGGCGUAAAGGGUUCGUAGGCGGCUUGCUAAGUCAGACGUGAAAUCCCUCAGCUUAACUGGGGAACUGCGUCUGAUACUGGCGAGCUUGAGUGCAGGAGAGGAACGCAGAAUUCCAGGUGUAGCGGUGAAAUGCGUAGAUAUCUGGAGGAAUACCGGUGGCGAAGGCGGCGUUCUGGACUGCAACUGACACUGAUGAACGAAAGCCAGGGGAGCAAACGGG
rnacentral:rRNA from 1 species